GAUAACAGUGGAUAUAACAGAAUAGUUAGACGGGGGGGACGACAAGUCCUCAUCGGGCAGCAGGAGGGACAGAGGCGGGGCCAAAGACUCUGUGGACUAGCUGGGAGACAACAUGUGAUCCAUCAGGAACCUUCAAAAGAAAGACUUCAUUAAAGACUCCAUCCCUGACCAGCAGCUCAGCCUGCAGGAACUCACUAUUCCAAUACAAAUCAAAUCAAAGACACCAAGACGUCUGUGCUGAAGACCAGCUCUGCCUGGAUAAGAUCUGGACCUGGUGGACCUGGACCUGGAGUAUAUGGUGGAUUGGGACAAUAGCUACCCUCCAGGUGCUGUGUUGGUGAUGCUGGGCCUGGUUGAGAUUAAGACGCUCUAUGAGCAGCUCCAGACCAAUAGGAUGUUCAACAACCGGAACAGAGCCAGUAUUUUUUUUGUACUUCUACUCCCCAAUUUCGUGAUAUCCAA